rnacentral:lncRNA from 1 species
GAGUCUUGUGGCGCGGUGGGGCGCGGACCCGGAACCGCCAAGUGGUGAAGGCGCCUCCAGGCGGUACCCGCUGGUCUCUAGAGUGUCAGCGGCGCUGUCUUUCUGCGAUACCGGAGCGCACAAAAUACUCGGUCCCCAGGCCGAGAACGCACCUCUACCUGGGUCCGGGGUCCCAUUUCACACACUGAGAUGCGUGAAGCGCCUCCUUUAGAAGAGCUGACAAUUCUUAGCAAACCAAGUUUUGCGUGAUUUUGGCGAGGCGGCGCUGCCCCAGGAACGCCUGGAGGGCCUGCACCACCAAACUGGACAGCCAUGGGUGUGUAACCUCUUUUGGGGCCUGAGAAACAGACCUUUCUCUCCACUCAGAGCUCCGGCUUCAGCUAUUGUGCUUCCGAAUGCCACUACCAUCAGAUAUGCCAUCUACAGAACUUAACACCUGAGCACCCACCCUUCAGGGCCACCCAUGGGCCCAAAACGGGAUAAAGGAGCCAUUCCCUGACAUGGGAGGAAAACAUUUGCUGAGAAGCUACGGUGUGCCAGACACAAUCUUGGACUUUCACUUAAUCCUCAAAACAGCCCUAGGAAGAAGUACCUACCGUUAACAGAUAAGAAAGCUGAGACCCACGGUUUACACAGCUAAGGAGAGCAAAGGUUUUAACCCAGGACUGUCCUGACUCCACAACAUCAAAGUUGUUUUGUUUUUGGUGUUUUGUAGAAAUAGGAUCUCCCUAUUAUUACCCAGGCUGGUCUCAAACUCCUGGGCUGCAGCAGUCCUCCCACCUCAGCCUCCCAGAGUGCUGGGAUUACAGGCAAGAGCCACCACACCUGGCUGAUGAAUAGGAAUUGGGUAAACAUUUUUGAAAAUUAAAUACCAAAUUACCAUUACACAAUGCCAAACAGACCUCCUUUGUCCCCUUCCCAGGAUUUUUCCAGAAGAUGGACUCACAUUAUGAUGGCCCCCUUUUUCCGCAGAAUGUUCCCAAUGAAAAUUUCUGAAAUGAUGGGAAUGUUCUAAAUAUGUGCCGUCCGAAAUAGUAACCAUUAGCCACAUAUGGCUAUUGAGCACUUUAAAUGUGGCUAGCAUAACUGAAAGGCCACAUUUUUAUUUAAAUUUAAAUUUAAAUAGCAAACCGUGGCUAAUCAUAAUAAUAGCUUAAGAGAGAAAUGGUGAGCAGGGUUACUGGGAGAGGUAUUCUCCUAUAAGCUCUGGAUAUACAGUUGACCUGUGAACAACAAGGGUUUGAACUGCACGGGUCCACUAAUGCAACCCUUGUUUUGUUUUGUUUUGUUUUCAAUAAAUACAGUCAGCCCUCCCUAUCAGAGGGUUCCACAUCCACAAUGAAACAUGGUUGCAAAAUACAGUAUGGGAUGUGAAACCUGUGUAUAGGGUGGGCUGACUUUUCGUUUCCAUAGGUUCUGCAGGGUCAACUAUAGUACAUGAGUAUACUCACAUUUUAGUAUCCUAAUAGAUCCUCGAACCAACACCUGGCGGAAAAUGGGGAACAAUUGCAUAACAGUAUUCAAGGGACUGGGUAUGAUGGCUUGCACCUGUAAUCCCAGCACUUUUGGAGGCCAAGGCAGAACAGGAGUUCGAGACCAGCCUGGGCAAUAUGGUGAAACCCCUUUUCUACAAAAAACUUAGCCAAGCAUGGCAUAUUUGUGUAAUGCCAUUUGCAUGACCCACAUGGUCACCCUGGACCCCGUGGAUCAGGCCCUGCCUGGUGCCACCACCGCCACUUCUGUGCCAGGCCCCCAGUGUGAUGCAAGUUGCAUGAUGCUCUUUGCUGUAGUGCCUUUUAAUGGCAUAGCUUUGGCAGGUUUGGAGAUGUUCAGAAUAGGCAAAUCCUGUGGUGGAUUUCUGGUUGUCUAAGGCCCUGGUGGAAGGGAGCAUAGGUGAAUUGGAGGGGAUGAUUAAAAGGUGUGAGAUUUCAUUUUGGGGUGAUGAAAAUGUUCUAAAAUUGGUUGUGGUAAUGGUUAUACAACUCUGAAUAUACUAAAAGGCAUUGAAUUGUACACUUUCAAUAUGUGAGUUAUAUCUCAAUAAAGCUAUUUUACAAAAAAAAA